rnacentral:rRNA from 1 species
UACGAAGGGGGCUAGCGUUGUUCGGAAUUACUGGGCGUAAAGCGCACGCAGGCGGAUUGAUAAGUCAGGGGUGAAAUCCCGGGGCUCAACCUCGGAAUUGCCUUUGAUACUGUCUAUCUUCGAGUUCGGGAGAGGUUGGCGGAAUUCCUAGUGUAGAGGUGAAAUUCGUAGAUAUUAGGAAGAACACCAGUGGCGAAGGCGGCCAACUGGCCCGAUACUGACGCUCAUGUGCGAAAGCG